UACGUAGGUGACAAGCGUUGUCCGGAUUUACUGGGCGUAAAGAGCGCGCAGGCGGUCGAUCAAGUCGAGUGUGAAAGCCCCCGGCUCAACUGGGGAGGGUCAUUCGAUACUGAUCGACUCGAAGGCAGGAGAGGGUAGUGGAAUUCCCGGUGUAGUGGUGAAAUGCGUAGAUAUCGGGAGGAACACCAGUGGCGAAGGCGACUACCUGGCCUGUUCUGACGCUGAGGCGCGAAAGCUAGGGGAGCAAACGGG
rnacentral:rRNA from 1 species